UAAUGUAUGGGGAUCUGCCCGAUAGAGGGGAUAACUACUGGAAACGGUGGCUAAUACCGCAUAAUGUCUACGGACCAAAGCAGGGGCUCUUCGGACCUUGCACUAUCGGAUGAACCCAUAUGGGAUUAGCUAGUAGGUGGGGUAAAGGCUCACCUAGGCGACGAUCUCUAGCUGGUCUGAGAGGAUGAUCAGCCACAUUGGGACUGAGACACGGCCCAG
rnacentral:rRNA from 1 species